GAAGAGGACAAAUGAUCCUGAUCUAUUUCUACAAAGGCAGAUCCUGUUCUGGCAUCUGAACAGCUGAGUAGGAGGUGAGGCUCAGCCGCUUCCUGGAAAGCAGUACACAGAAUGGUUAGACCAGAAGACAAACACUGCCACAAAGACUGCCCACCAGCAUGGGAAGCCCAUCAGUGUCAAGGCACAGCACAUAUCCAUGGUUUGUACCAGCAUGUUCCUCCCCACAGAGUAGCUACUCCAGCACAGGAAGACCAGCAAAGCAAAGCAUGUAGCCAUUAUUUGCAUCAAUGUGUUCCCAGGCUCAGCAAAAUAGAGAAGCAGUGCAGACAACAAAUACUCUGUGUAACCUGCACAGGUAUUGCUGUCCUGAGCUGCAUGCUGGUGCAAAAAAAAAAAAGACUGAUGGGUUGACCCUGGCUAGGUGCAAGGUGCCCACCAAAGCUGCUCUGUUACUCCUCUCUUCAGCUGGACAGGGAAGAGAAAAUGUAAGGGAAGUUUGUGGGUCAUGAUAAGGACAUGGAGAGAUCACUCAGCACUUCCUGUCAUUGGCAGAACAGACCCAUCUUGAGCAAAUUAAUUUAAUUUAUUACCAAUAAAAAUCCAAGUAGGAUAAUGUGAAA